UUGCUGGAAGAGCCACCGCUCCCUUAACUAUAGACCAUCAUUGGAAAAUAAACACCGGCAGAAGGAAUGAGUUCCUUUCUGAAUUUCCCACUUUGUUUUUUGGUUCUGUGGAGAAAAUCAUCACUCCAAGGCCUUCAGCAUUGCCUCAUGACCUCAACCCUUGGAACAUGGCAGUGCACAAAGUCAACCUACUGGAGAAAGGAUGUUGAGCCUAACCUGCAGAAGAGGCACAGACGCAGGGCCCUCUGAAGAAUGGGAAUUCAAUAGAAAGCAGAGCACCCAGGAGCCCUACUGAUGUGGACCAGAAGGCCA
rnacentral:lncRNA from 1 species